CUUCACUAUUAGAAUUGUUACAACAGAGUAGCCACGUCUUGGUAAUACUUAUGGAUGUUCUCCAUAUAAUACACAGAAUCCGGACUGCAAGGAAGAAGCCCAGGGGAAAGACCGCAAAUCGGGAGGCACUUCGCUUCGUCCUGAGGUUCUUAACGAGCCGGGGGUCGGAGGACGAAGGAAAUUUCAACUCAUGCUCUGCUAAACGGACACACGAGUCAGACUUACUUUUAAUUUAAAGGACGCAAACUGGGUCAGUGUGCCGGGAGGGGCGCACUUUAACGCCAGAUGUGCCGAAACGACUACGAGAAGAAUCCUUUGUGGAAUUGUUACAUUGACCGAGAGAUCUCAUAAGGGGAUGAAAUUCGACAUUUGGAUGCACUUAGGAUCAAUUAGGAAAGUGGCGCCUGACUACAGUUUCUUGAAAUUCCCAUUUAUUAACACCCGAACGGGCAACGCCGAGAUCGAUCGUUGGCCGUGACUGAAGCAGCGAGGAAGGAAGGAAGGAAGGAAGGAAGGUUUGGAGCGCGGUAUAAUAAAUGCCCCGCAUAUUUACUUAUUACUCUAACGAGCGGACGCUUUUGCAUCGCGCGACUUCGCGGCACGCGUGCCUUCGGUCACGGAACACUUGAUGAUUUACGACGCAUCACGUGCACUCCCGUGAUUCCUCAAGAGGUUCAAGAAUACGUCUAGCCUAUGCGUCUCUGAUUGUUUUAUCGAUUUGCUUCGCUAAAUUAAAUCGCUUGUUCCUCGAUCCUUAAACCAUGAUUAAUGAUUUA